AGAGUUUGAUCCUGGCUCAGGAUGAACGCUGGCGGCGUGCCUAACACAUGCAAGUCGAGCGAUUCUCUCACGAGAAGAGCGGCGGACGGGUGAGUAACGCGUGGGUAACCUGCCCUGUACACACGGAUAACAUACCGAAAGGUAUGCUAAUACGGGAUAAUAUAAGAGAGUCGCAUGGCUUUCUUAUCAAAGCUUUGGCG
rnacentral:rRNA from 1 species